rnacentral:lncRNA from 1 species
UCAGCAAGUGACAAAGCAUAUUCAGAACAAAAGGAAUGGUUUCAAACAAGUAAGGUAUCAUAAUGCAAGGCAGAAUACAAGAAUUCUCAAGGAUACCAUCUCAUUAGAUACAAAAUCAUAUGUAUCAUGUCAUUCAAAACAUAUUUGAUUCAUAACAAAUGGAGCACAGAGUAAUUGGAGCAUAUCAAUAGCGUACGAGAUGUUCCGGAGCAUAUCAAUGGCAAAUGGUACAUUUCGAAGCAUAUCAAUAACAAAUGAAACAUAUCGAAGCUUAUCAAUGGCAUAUGAAUUGUUCCGGAGAAUAUCAAUGGCGUAUGGAGCAUUUCGAAGCAUAUCAAUAACAAAUGAAAUGUUUCGGAGCUUAUCAAUGGCGUAUGAAAUGUUCCGGAGCAUAUCAAAGGCAUAUGAAACAUUUCGAAGCAUAUCAACAGUGAAUGAAACUUUUUAGAGCAUAUCAAUAACAAAUACCGUACAGAAGCUCAAACGUCGUCUUUGACGUUGCAAUCAUAUCAUUCUUAUCCAAAGCAUGUACCGAAACACAUAACCAAAGCUCUGGAUAUCAUAUCAAACAUAUAGAAGGUGUAGUGGGAUCUCAAACAGAGUGUGAUUCAUCCAUUUCUGAAUGACCACCAGACAUAAGUCUCCCACGUCUGGGAGCUCCAUCCACCCACGUCUAGGUUAAGCCAGAGGGGGCCGGCAAAGCAUCGCAGGCUAUAAACACAUACCCUUUACCAUUUCUGGCAAAGGUCCAGACAAUCCCACAAACACCAGAGUACAAGAGGACAGUUUUAACAAUAAGUAGCACAUAUCGGAAGCACACGCGGAACAAGAAAACGUACAUGUGCCUUUACGAGUCAAUUCGAAGUAAGAAAUAAUCUUUCACAAUGGUAUUCGGAUUUUGAAAGGAAAUGGAAUAGGCACAUAUCGAAAGCAAAUGCGGAACAAUGGGAUACACAUGUGCCUAAAUGAGUCAAUACGAUAUAGCAUAAACGUUACACAACAGUUUUCAAGAAUGCAAAUAACUUUAAGGACAAGAGCAUACAAGAAUUCAAAGCAGUAAUAUAAAGCUUAAUUAAAUAAGAAAGCUAAAGGAUAUCAAUUUCCAAAGGAAUGAAACCAGAAUAUUAGAAAUCGACCAAAGCUCGAUUUCUGACAGAAUACAAGAGGCACAUUGAACAAAAGAUUCAAACUAUCAAUCGUGCUCCAAUUUACUCAGAAAUAUAUCAUUGGAUUAUACUUUCAGAUAAGACAGGCUUCAUAUGAAUUGAACU